GACGAACGCUGGCGGCGUGCCUAAUACAUGCAAGUUGAGCGCUGAAGGUUGGUACUUGUACCGACUGGAUGAGCAGCGAACGGGUGAGUAACGCGUGGGGAAUCUGCCUUUGAGCGGGGGACAACAUUUGGAAACGAAUGCUAAUACCGCAUAAAAACUUUAAACACAAGUUUUAAGUUUGAAAGAUGCAAUUGCAUCACUCAAAGAUGAUCCCGCGUUGUAUUAGCUAGUUGGUGAGGUAAAGGCUCACCAAGGCGAUGAUACAUAGCCGACCUGAGAGGGUGAUCGGCCACAUUGGGACUGGGACACGGCCCAAACUCCUACGGGAGGCAGCAGUAGGGAAUCUUCGGCAAUGGACGAAAGUCUGACCGAGCAAAGCCGCGUGAGUGAAGAAGGUUUUCGGAUCGUAAAACUCUGUUGGUAGAGAAGAACGUUGGUGAGAGUGGAAAGCUCAUCAAGUGACGGUAACUACCCAGAAAGGGACGGCUAACUACGUG
rnacentral:rRNA from 1 species